GACGAACGCUGGCGGCGUGCUUAACACAUGCAAGUCGAACGGGAUCCGGGCUUUCGGGUUUGGUGAGAGUGGCGAACGGGUGAGUAACACGUGAGUAACCUGCCCCCUUCUUUGGGAUAACGUCGGGAAAUCGGCGCUAAUACUGGAUAUUCUUGCUGCAUCGCAUGGUGUGGUUUGGAAAGGGUUUCUGGUGGGGGAUGGGCUCGCGGCCUAUCAGCUUGUUGGUGGGGUGAUGGCCUACCAAGGCUUUGACGGGUAGCCGGCCUGAGAGGGUGUCCGGCCACACUGGGACUGAGACACGGCCCAGACUCCUACGGGAGGCAGCAGUGGGGAAUAUUGCACAAUGGGCGCAAGCCUGAUGCAGCGACGCCGCGUGAGGGAUGACGGCCUUCGGGUUGUAAACCUCUUUCAGUAUGGAACAAGGAUCCUCCUUUUGGGGGGUUUGAGGGUACGUGCAGAAGAAGCGCCGGCUAACUACGUG
rnacentral:rRNA from 1 species